CGCAUUCGCCCUUCGGGGUGCCCAGGCGCGAAAACUUUGCAAUACACGAAAGUGUGACAGGGCUAUCCCGAGUGCCAUCCGCUGAGGAAGGCUUUUACCUAGUCUAGAACGCUGGGGGAAUAAGGAGAGGGCAAGUCUGGUGUCAGCCGCCGCGGUAAUACCAGCUCUCCGAGUGGUGUGGAUGUUUAUUGGGCCUAAAGCAUCCGUAGCUGGCUAAGUUAGUCCCUUGUUAAAUCCACCGAAUUAAUCGUUGGAUUGCGGGGGAUACUGCUUGGCUAGGGGACGAGAGAGGCAGACGGUAUUUCCGGGGUAGGGGUGAAAUCCUAUAAUCCCGGGAAGACCACCAGUGGCGAAGGCUGUCUGCUAGAACGCGCCCGACGGUGAGGGAUGAAAGCUGGGGGAGCGAACCGGAUUAGAUACCCGGGUAGUCCCAGCUGUAAACGAUGCAGGCUAGGUGUUUGGACGGCCACGUGCCGUUCUAGUGCCGCAGGGAAGCUGUUAAGCCUGCCGCCUGGGGAGUACGAUCGCAAGAUUGAAACUUAAAGGAAUUGGCGGGGGAGCAC
rnacentral:rRNA from 1 species